GGUGAUAGGGGCCAGCCCAGUGGCGCAGCAGUUAAGUUCACACAUUCCGCUUCUCAGAGGCCCGGAGUUCGCCAGUUCAGAUCCCGGGUGCAAACAUGGCACCGCUUGCCAAAAGCCAUGCUGUGACUUGAGUUACAAACGCCACCACAGCGGUCUUAACAUCUGGCUUCCAAGGGGUCAAACUCUGAACAGUGCAGGGAGAGUAGGAGGCCAAAUGGGACCUCCUGCUGGGCAACCAGCUGUCUUCUUGAAACUCCUCCUGAAGCUGCAGCCAGCAGAGCAGCACAUCUCUGCAUGUGAGGACACCUCCCUUUCCUUCUCUCUCACUCUCACUGCCUCGAUUUGUACCUCCCGAAUAAAACAUCGGCACUAAA
rnacentral:lncRNA from 1 species